GGGAAUAUUGGACAAUGGGCGCAAGCCUGAUCCAGCCAUGCCGCGUGAGUGAUGAAGGCCCUAGGGUUGUAAAGCUCUUUUGCGCGGGAAGAUAAUGACGGUACCGCAAGAAUAAGCCCCGGCUAACUUCGUGCCAGCAGCCGCGGUAAUACGAAGGGGGCUAGCGUUGCUCGGAAUCACUGGGCGUAAAGGGUGCGUAGGCGGGUCUUUAAGUCAGGGGUGAAAUCCUGGAGCUCAACUCCAGAACUGCCUUUGAUACUGAGGAUCUUGAGUACGGGAGAGGUGAGUGGAACUGCGAGUGUAGAGGUGAAAUUCGUAGAUAUUCGCAAGAACACCAGUGGCGAAGGCGGCUCACUGGCCCGUUACUGACGCUGAGGCACGAAAGCGUGGGGAGCAAACA
rnacentral:rRNA from 1 species